CAAAAACAUGUCCUUUUGUUUAUUAAUUUAAGGUUUAACCUGCCCAAUGAGGAAUUCAAUGGCCGCAGUAUUUUAACUGUGCUAAGGUAGCAUAAUCAUUUGUCUUUUAAUUGAGGGCUGGAAUGAAGGGUUGGACGAGGCAUUAGCUUUCUUUGAUUUAAUUUAGGAAUUUAAUUUUUGAGUUAAAAAGCUUAAAUUUAUUUAUGGGACGAGAAGACCCUAUAGAUCUUUAUGGUUUUAUGUUUUAAUAAUUUAGGGAUUUAUAUAUUUUAAGCAGAUGAAUUAUUUUGUUGGGGUGACUGUAGAAUUUAAAUAACUUCUAUUUUUUAUUUUCAUUAAUUAAUGUUUUUUUGAUCCAUAAUUUAUGAUUAGAAGAAUAAGUUACCUUAGGGAUAACAGCGUAAUUUCCUCGGAGAGUUCAUAUUGAUGAGGGAGUUUGCGACCUCGAUGUUGGAUUAAAAUAAGUUGUGGAUGCAGGAGUCUAUUUACUAGGUCUGUUCGACCUUUGAAUUUUUACAUGAUCUGAGUUC
rnacentral:rRNA from 1 species